AAUCUUAUUUUUAAUUUCCUCCUCUCCAAGUAAUGCCCUAAGUGCUACUUCACAUCAGUAGUGUACGGUGUGCAGUGUGUAGAGCAGAGUCAUCAUGGUUACGAAUUAAAAUACUUGGAUCUUCUUUCAUUCAUCAUUUCUGGGUUUCUAUUCUGAGAGAUGCUUCUUGUUUGCUUGCCAUGGAUACUCAACAUUGCUUGAAGAUUUCUUUUCUUCAGAUUGCGCUUUUCGUUUCUUCUUCCAUUUCUUGAAGAUGCUCUGUCUAAGUGACUUCUGGUGACCUUAGUCAUAACAGUUUAAACUAACGUAAAAAAACGCAGCCACUUUCUCACUUUCUCUUCUCAACUUUCACCACCACAGCCAACCAUCGUCUCUCUCGGUAAAGCUUCCCCCACCACAACCACCAUCUCUCUCAUUCUUCUUCUCUCUUGUUGAACUUCUACCACAACCACCUUCUCCUUCGCUCUUCUCUCUCGGUGAAGCUUCCUUCCACCACCACAGCCACCAUCCAUCCACCAUCACCACCCCGUUUGGUAGAGCACGACGACAGCCACUGCAGCAACGCCGAACGUAACGCAGCCACGACCUCGCGUUUUCCGACCACCGCACCCACCACAGUGAGAUGGACGAGAACCAACACCUGAAUCAAAGUUUUGAUUCUUCAAGUUCUACUCUUACUCAUUGCAAAGAUUUAGGAACUACUGACAGCGAAUGUGAUAGUUCCAUCAACAAUUUUGAUUCUAACAAGGUAUGUAAUUUGGUAAUAUUUAGGCUUGUAUAUCAAUUUUAUUCUGGAUUUCGGACUUGUAUGUUUUCUUCUUUGCAGCCCUACAUACUGAAUGGGAAUGGAAGGGAGGUUUUUAAACAUCUGGCAUUAGCUCGUGGUACACGACCGCCAUACGACCAAUACACAAGUUAGAGCAACAUCAACUUGUGGCAUGAAAUUUCAAGAAAUAUUUUUUACGAGAAUCCAUAUGUCAGUAAGGCCUCGUUGCCUGACAUACUUUCAGUUGUCCGGGGAUAUUAUAAUAUCUAUAUUGCAGAUCCUUCAUUGAGCAGAUUGAUGGAUAUCCCUUUCAAGAACACUAUUCAUUUUGUGUUUGGGCAUCCUGUGUUUGGGCCAUUAUCUGGCCGGAAAGGCCCUCUAACAUUUGAAGACAUGGAAGAAGUGCAAAAUGCAUGUUCGGAAACUUGCAUCGAUGGGCAGACGGAGAGGCAACCAAUUUUUCCGCCCACAUCAGAUGUCAAGAAAAUGGCAAAGUUGCGGAGGGAACUGGGUUACUCGGGGGUUUUAUCAGUGCAAUAUGGUGAAGAUCUUAAGCUUUUACCUCUAAAAGAUGCACAUAAGCGGUGGUUGCUCAUACAUCAUGGUCCAACCUCUGAUAAAUAUAUAGCCAUAGCAAAACAAGACCCCAAGUUUAGAAGAGAUUGUCUUCUCAAGCUUUUUCAUAAGGGUAAACCAAGUUCCAACUGUUCUAGGUCUUCGAUUGGCUCUCAAUAAAGAAGAAAAUUAUGAGAGUAAGUGAAGGUGCUGCUUCUCCACCUCUGCUGCCCCAACUGGCCUAGGAUGCUAAUGCUAUUAUAUUGUGUGAAAUGUGACAAUUUCCGGUUGCUACAUGUUUUUAUGAUCUCUUUUCUGUAAUGAGAAAACUUCAAUGUUCCAUGUACCUGGUUUAUAUUUUAUCUCACUUUCCUUAAUUUGGCAAAUUGCUUGUCCUGAAGAUUGUUGUAAUCAUUAAUUUCUUUCUAAAUUUGAAGAAAUGGAUUUUGGUUUCAUCA